AGAGUUUGAUCCUGGCUCAGAACGAACGUUGGCGGCGUGCUUAACACAUGCAAGUCGAACGAGAAAGUUUUCUUCGGAGAACGAGUAAAGUGGCGCACGGGUGAGUAACGCGUAAGUAAUCUACCCUUGCAUCUGGAAUAACUACGGGAAGCUGUAGCUAAUACCGGAUACGUUCAUAGAGUUACGACUCUAUGAAGAAAGAUGACCUCUUCUUGAAAGUUAUCGUGCAGGGAGGAGCUUGCGUACCAUUAGCUAGUUGGUAGGGUAAAGGCCUACCAAGGCAACGAUGGUUAGCGGGUCUGAGAGGAUGAUCCGCCACACUGGAACUGGAACACGGACCAGACUCCUACGGGAGGCAGCAGUGAGGAAUAUUGCGCAAUGGGGGCAACCCUGACGCAGCGACGCCGCGUGGAUGAUGAAGGCCUUCGGGUCGUAAAAUCCUGUCAGAUGGGAAGAAAUGUAUGUAGGAAUAAUACCCUAUGUGCUUGACGGUACCAUCAAAG
rnacentral:rRNA from 1 species